AGCGAGCCGCGGCCAAGCGGGGCUGCUGAGAGCCGAGGGAUCCCCCCCCCCGGUUUUGCCUGGGACCCCGGCUUAGUGGUUCCGCCCGCGUGGCCCAGGUCCGCUGGCAAGAGGCAGAUUUUUGCCCAGGUGCCAGUAGAUCAGCCACAAGGAGCCCGAAUUGCACCGGUAAAAACCAAAACGCGUUUCCAGCACUACAGGGAAUUAUUUACAUUAUGAUGUACAAUAACUGCGUCCCUAGCGGGGGAACUGGCCUGGCCAUUCUGAUGAUACAAGCGGACCAGGAGGAUGAAUUACUGUCGAUUUGCAUUUACCAUUAAAAAAAAAUAUCGACCGAAUCAAGCUGUCUUCUUUUUCGGUGAAAUGAAAUAUAUCCCAGUGGUCGAGAGAUGGUAAUGAUACAACGAAACUUUUACUGUUACACAAUAUGCAUCCUUUGUUACCAGCCACACUGACUGUUAGAAAGCUCCUAUAUUUUUCGGGGCGGAAAUGUAAUUUACAGACUCGAUUGAGGUUUCGUUUUGCAACAUCUCCUUGAAGAUCCUGAUUUUCAACGAUGUCUUUUAAUGUGUUGUUUUACCAUCAAUCCUUUCUACCUGUAUAAAUCUAGUUUUAUCUGUAUCUCUGACCUGUAAAAAUAGGUGUGGUGUUACAAAACUGAUAUUCCCAUAGGUGCAAAUGUUCUUUGCGAUAACAUACUGUCACUACUGCCUUCCUAAUUUCGUUUUCAUUCAAAUACACGACGGAAAUGGAUGAAGAUAUUUGCAGUUGUUUCUUUGAUUUCAUCUCUCAACAGCCGCAGUGUAAGUCUCCUGGGCUGUCAUUGGAUGCUGUUGUAUAGUUGCAAUGUAUGUAAUUCAGUGACUGUCUAUACCAUCCCGUGCUUUUAUUAGACCCGUGUUAGGUGCUCGCUUCCGAGAACCGUUUUGCACGAGGAAGCGAGGUUGUCUGCACGACUUGUUCUUCCCUAUUUACAUUUUGCCUAUAAUGUUCCAUCCAAACUUUUCUGAUGAUGUUUCAGAGAGUUUCCAUUGGACAGGGGGACUGAGAACACCUAGACGCCUGCCUGACGUGUAGAUCCAAGAUUUCCGACCACCUGGGGCUAUCCUGGACAGCUGCACAUGAAUAUUCAGCCACAAGUGCUUCUAUGGAGCAAGUUAGAAUUGAACAUUAAAUAUUAAAUCUAAGUCCCUGUGAGGUUCCCUGGCUCCUUUAGCGAUUUCCCCGGAGUAGGAAUCCUAAGGGGGGGGGAGGAGGAUCUUUUAAAAAGGAAACAAAUAACAAAACACUCCCCGCAAAAGAGAUGAAUUCACUUCGGUCUUCACCUUUAUAUAAAGCGGAGUCUCGCAAUGUAACUGGCUAACAGUUUCUCAGCCUACCUGGGUCACCUGGACCAGGACAGCCCGAGGCAGAGACACUGACACGGACUUUUUUUUUUCUUUUUUUGCUUUCGACUCCCCUUCACUCCUGGAAGAAGAGGUGCUGUAACCCGCCCCACAUACAUACAGUGCGGCCCCCCAGACCACUUGGGGGACACCUCUUCAGCACUUAAAGAGAGAGAGACUCUCCCCCCCCCCCAUUCAGGGGAUGUUGUCACGCUUAUUUGGCGUUGCUGUCUGACUUUUAUUCCCUUUAUUCCCCUAUCAAGUAUCCAUGUAAUUAACCCACUCCC